GCACUGCUGACGAGUCCAAAACAGGACGAAACAGCUGUCCAGUGC
rfam:Echinostoma caproni strain Egypt genome assembly, scaffold: ECPE_scaffold0001468